GACGAACGCUGGCGGCGUGCUUAACACAUGCAAGUCGAACGGAAAGGCCCUGCUUUUGUGGGGUGCUCGAGUGGCGAACGGGUGAGUAACACGUGAGUAACCUGUCCUUGACUUUGGGAUAACUUCAGGAAACUGGGGCUAAUACCGGAUAGGAGCUCCUGCUGCAUGGUGGGGGAUGGAAAGUUUCGGCGGUUGGGGCUGGACUCGCGGCUUAUCAGCUUGUUGGUGGGGUAGUGGCUUACCAAGGCUUUGACGGGUAGCCGGCCUGGGAGGGUGACCGGCCACAUUGGGACUGAGAUACGGCCCAGACUCCUACGGGAGGCAGCAGUGGGGAAUAUUGCACAAUGGGCGGAAGCCUGAUGCAGCAACGCCGCGUGCGGGAUGACGGCCUUCGGGUUGUAAACCGCUUUCGCCUGUGACGAAGCGUGAGUGACGGUAAUGGGUAAAGAAGCACCGGCUAACUACGUG
rnacentral:rRNA from 1 species